rnacentral:rRNA from 1 species
UACAGAGGGGGCAAGCGUUGUUCGGAAUUAUUGGGCGUAAAGCGCACGUAGGCGGCUUGGCAAGUCGGAUGUGAAAUCCCUCGGCUCAACCAAGGAAGUGCAUCCGAAACUGCUAAGCUUGAGUACUUAAGAGGAUCGCGGAAUUCCCGGUGUAGAGGUGAAAUUCGUAGAUAUCGGGAGGAACACCAGUGGCGAAGGCGGCGAUCUGGGAAGAUACUGACGCUGAGGUGCGAAAGCGUGGGGAGCAAACAGG